rnacentral:rRNA from 1 species
GACGAACGCUGGCGGCGUGCUUAACACAUGCAAGUCGAACGGAAAGGCCCCUUUGGGGGUACUCGAGUGGCGAACGGGUGAGUAACACGUGAGUAACCUGCCCUUGACUUCGGGAUAACUUCAGGAAACUGGGGCUAAUACCGGAUAGGAAUCCUUGCUGCAUGGUGGGGGUUGGAAAGCUUCGGCGGUUUUGGAUGGACUCGCGGCUUAUCAGCUUGUUGGUGGGGUAGUGGCUUACCAAGGCUUUGACGGGUAGCCGGCCUGGGGGGGCGACCGGCCACAUUGGGACUGAGAUACGGCCCAGACUCCUACGGGGGGCAGCAGGGGGGAAUAUUGCACAAUGGGCGGAAGCCUGAUGCAGCAACGCCGCGUGCGGGAUGACGGCCUUCGGGUUGUAAACCGCUUUCAGCAGGGGCGAAGCUUGUGGUGACGGUACCUGCAGAAGAAGCACCGGCUAACUACGUG